AAAAAAAAAAAUCCCAGUAUCAGCAAUCCCAUGCUGUGAUCUAUCUCAGGUAGGUUUAAUCAGUUGCUUGGCAGUAACCAACCUCCCUGUAAACAGAAAAAGAAAGAAAUAACAACCAUCCAAGCCUUUGUUGCUUAGCCGUGAGCAGGCAGGCUCUUAUGCAUUCUCAUGUACAAGAAAUGUACACAUGGAAUUAACAAGAUUUAGCCUGUGAAAAAAUCUUAUUUCCACGUGCUUUAUCAAUUCCUGAAUGUGAACUCUCGCAAGCUGACACCAAUUUCAUGUUGGGUACGAAUGGAACCUGGCGCUGGAGGCAAUUGCAUUGUUGAGUUUGAGUUUGGCUCUUCAAUUUCUAUGUUAUGAUCCCUAACAUCAGGAUUUUCAAUGUGUUCAGGCUCAUCAGCCUCCUGGUUGUGUACAGAAUUUGCUGCUUCAGGGUCCCAAUUAUCUAUGUCAUGGUUAUAGUUUCUUGGAGAAGCCUGCAAGCUGUCAGGAGCAGUGCUGCUACGGUAGUUAUGCAAGAGAUGGACAGGCGACAUGCCAUGUGUGGGAGUUGCUGGUCUGCUUGACAUUGGUGUUUGAGACUCAGAAUGUUUGCUGUGUUUAGCAUGUUUUUUGGCAGCAUGGUGCCAGCUCUUGAGUGCUGCUGCUACUCGGUCGUUAAAGAUGGUUGGUCUUAUGCUAGAACCCAUCUGUAAUAUCACAGACAAUAUUAGGCCUAAGAAUUUAUCAAGAGGUAUCAAUGCCUAUAAGCAAGCUAUGUAGGACAACAUACAAUCAAGCAAUGCUAUUUUGCUCACCUGUGUCACUAGAGCAUACAAAGGCAGAGUCACGUAACUGCAUAGAACCUGUAUGAUGACCCUGAAAUGUAAACAAUUUUGGAUUGUGUCAGGAAUGCUUGAAGCUGUGAAGAUGAUUUAAAGGGGGGAAAAGAAUCUGAUGUUGUGGUAAUAAAACUCACCCCAAUGUAACUUUGAUUGCAAUAUCUUCUUUGCGAUCAUGGUAGCAAGAGCCAGAUCCAAUUUUCCACUGAAAGGUAAGGCAAAAGAUAUCUUGUCAGGGUAAAACAGUUUAUAGCAUUUAACUAGUUGAACUGUUAAUCCAUGAUUGACAGGCAGAAAUGAUGCUUCUUAAAUGCUAAAAAAAAGUAUUAAAGAAAGUAAUUAUAUGCUUACCACGCUCCAUGCAAAGAGAGCCAGCUGAAAUGCAUUCUGCAAUGCAGAAGUUGAAAGUGGAAAAAAAAAAAUUGUAAGCAUGAGCAAGAAGAGGCAUAGUGUUCCUGUGAUUCAUACAUUAAAGGGAAUGGUUGAAUAGCAAGUAGUUUGCAAGUACCUGAAAGAGAACCAAGUGAAUAAGGAACAGAAUGAGGCGUGGGCGACCGAACCAGAAGAGGUCAUCGCCAGGUUGAACCACAGGAGCACCCUUAACUACAUCUCCUCUCUCUUGAAACCUUAGCCCCAUUUUAGUUAUGAUCACUUGCAGCUUAGCCCCUACCACCAAGAUUAUAACUAAGGGGAUAAAUGGUAACCAUAGAUAAGCAUACCAACCAUUUGUGCUGGUUAGCAUCAUCAAACAUGCAAUAACCCAUAAAACUGGACUGAUCCCCACCACAACUUUAAAGUCAUCUUCAAGUGAUCUGUUUAUGUAUUUUUGGAAGUCAAAUCUUGUUUCACUUCCAGGGGCCAAAUGUGCCAUGAUAAAUCCAUGUCUCAGUGUCAGGUAAUCAACCUUGGUGACUGAUCCAAAGAAUUGUCUAAAGAAACACAAAAUCCAAAUGAAAACUGUCGACCGACUCCAUAAUUUCAAAUGUCUUUUUCCAAAUGAUGUAUCCCUUGCAAACCUAAACCUCUCUGGAUCAUUAUGGUAUUGAUACUCAAUUGUCUUUGUCUCAUUCUCCCAACUCUUCCACCUUCUCAUCUUGGUUUUGCCCAAAAUAUAGGUAAUUAUGCAGUAGAGAACAUGAACAACUGCUAGUACAAAGAUGAAAUAGUGGAGCUGGUCAAUCCCAUAUGCUGAUACAAAGGCUACUUCACCCUCAUCACAUUUAUUUCCGGAUUUUGCUGCUAAAUAACGUCUAGUACUUGCUCCAGUAUCUAAGAACUGAAGAAGUCUUCGAUUAUUAUCUUUAGAAUCUGUUCCUGUCUUACUCUUGUGCUGAUUCUUGUUGCAAGGGUGCCAGGUGGAUGCAGUACUCUCUGAAAUGCAAAUUUCAGAGAUAGGACCUUGUAGUACGGUUAGGAGCAAGGAUAUAAAUCCCAUAAGCAUCAGCUCUGCUUUAAUCUUUUCAAGAGCUUCCACAAGAGCUGGCUUAUGCAUCUUCUUAAACCACUUUUCUAUCAAAUGAAACACAUGCUCAAUCAAGAUUGAAAUAGCAAUCAUCACAAGGCAGACCACAGCAACAGCCCAUGUCGGCGUCUCCCCCAGAGAACGUUCUUUUCCAGUAUCAGACAUAGUAGUAAAGCUUCCUCUUGAUGCAGAGACUCUCCAAGAAAUGGCCAAAAAAUGUUCAAAAGGACGAAAUGCAGAAGAUGCUAUUGGCAAAGUUACCUCUUGUGUAUGCAAAGUUCUAUUAUGCCCUAUGCAAAAAUUUGUGCGGAUGCGCAGAAGAGGUAGAGAGAUUGUG
rnacentral:misc_RNA from 1 species